rnacentral:rRNA from 1 species
ACUUACGGCCAUACCAUCCUGAAUACGCCUGAUCUCGUCUGAUCUCGGAAGCUAAGCAGGGUCAGGGCCUGGUUAGUACUUGGAUGGGAGACCAACUGGGAAUACCAGGUGCUGUAAGUG